GGCUCAAUAGCUCAGUGGUUAUAGCACUGGUUUUGUAAACCAGGGGUCGUGAAUUCAAAUCUCAAUGGAGUUU
rnacentral:tRNA from 1 species